AGCCCCAGGCCUGGAAGGACCGCUUUAUUGAUGGCUUCAUCUCUCUUGGGGCUCCCUGGGGUGGCUCCAUCAAGCCCAUGCUGGUCUUGGCCUCAGGAGUGCCUUUGCCCAGGGAUGUGCUUCACUGAGGAUGGAUCUGCCAGAGCUAGGGCCAGACCCCCCGAGGCCCCACCUGCUCUUCCCUAGGGAGUGGCACCAGGGCCCAGCACUGACACAGCUACCACCUACUCCCCACCCCCUGUACCCUGGGAGCUGGUCUGGAGAGAGAAACACAGUCUGGACAAGAGAAACGCUCAUCAGACACCACCAAUAAACAUCAAAC
rnacentral:lncRNA from 1 species